rnacentral:lncRNA from 1 species
AGUGUGUUAAAGUUAUUCUGAUAUUGACUGUAGUUCUGAGCUUUGUCUCUAUCCCACCAAACCACUAACUUCUGGAAAUUACUUGUAGACCAAGAUGGGAGGACUCCGUGUGUGGCUCCCUCUCUUCAUGUGACAAAGAAACUUCCUAAAAUACUAAAAGCUAAAGGAGAUUGUUAUCUAAGCUUGAGAUGGAAGGUUGCCAGCGGAAACUUGGAGGAUCACAGCCAGUCGCCUGGGAUUGACCACAGGGAGUGGCAGAGGCAGAAAGCAAAAGACCAGUUGCAAUUAUCCAGGUAAAAGAUGGAGGCUGUUGCAAUAAUCCAGAAUCCUGAAUUGAGCCUGUGUUCCCAGUUCCUAGAAACCCUCAAGGUUAUUGGUUUCCUCCUCGCUUAAUAGACCAGUGGAAGAAAUCUACCUCCAGUUCUAUCUUCACAUGAGCAACUGUUUACAGUUUACAAUAUUACUCUGAAAAUCAGUUCUUUUCAAGUUUUAUCUAACACCCACCAGAAGAAACAGAAGAUUAUGAAAAUGGAAUUUGUCAAAGUUCCUCUCCCAACAAUAUGAUAUUUAAUUUUGCUAACAUUUUUUUUUGAACACUUACUAUAUUGCAGACAAUGGUCUAAGUAAAGCAUUUUAUGUGCAUCCUAUCAUGUCAUCAUCACACAGCCCUGUGAGGUAGAUACUAUUAUUAUUAACCACAUUUCACAUUCAAAAAAACUGAGGCUUAGAGAGACUAAGUAAAUUGUCCAAGGUCACACAGCCAUGAAGUGGCAGAGCUGUGGUUAAAACCUAUGUCUGUCUGAUGUUUAAGAUUUUGCUGUUAGCAUUACUUUGAAAUGACAAUAUGAGGGCAUUUUAUGUAUUUUUUUUGCCCCAAUAUGAUCUGCAGAAACUAUGUAUUUUAAGUACUACAUUUCUUUUAUUUACCAAAUUAUUGUCAGAUAAGAAACCGAAAUAAAAGUUUACAGGGUCUAGGAUUCCUCCAUAAUGAAUGAACUUUGGGGUAUUUCAGUGACAAAUUGGCUUUAACGCGAUCAAAUUCCAUCCUACAAUGAAAGUGUGUUAGUUUGUGGUUUCAAGUUUAAAAACAGCACUGUAUUGUCUUCCAGAAAUAUAUAAAUAGAAAUUCAAGAAGUAUUUCAAUGAAUACAGAUAAAAUUAGUUUUGUUAGAACAUCAAAUAUGUGGGUUUCAUUUCUUAGCUCAGUUUAGAAACUGUAAUUUCAAUUUUUUUUAGCAGCUGUGGUAAAUUUUGAGAUUUGAAAUUUCAUAUAAUAUAAAUCCUCAUUUAUUGAGCAUUUAAAUUAUAUGCCCAACAAUUUACUGUGUACAUUACUUCACUUGUUCUUAACUAUAACUCUACAAAAUAUUAUUGUCCUUGAUUUAUAGAUGAAGAUAUUGAGACUCAGUUAAGUAACUUGCUUGAAAUUCAAAAACGUUAACUGUGGAAGGCAGUAUUUGAACCCAGUGUUCAAAACCCCAUGCUCUUUUUAUUAUAUGACCUUAUUUCCUAUUCAGUCUUCAGAAGAUAUAUUGUCUUAUUAGAUUAUUCUCGUUCUCUAAAUAAGUGACCUUGGGCAACUAUCUUUUUCCCUGGUAUUUUCCCCUGCCUUUAAAACAAUGUGAUCAAACUGGAAGUUUUUCACGAUCUCUCUUAGCCCUAAAGCUCCUUGGUUCUGUAAUUCCACCAAUAGCCCAUUUCAAAAAUAAUUCUACAGUAAUCAGUGGGACUCCUGUUUUUCCCAUCUUUUUUUUUUUUGAAACAGAAAAUUGAAACUUUUAAAUUAGUUUAGUAAAUACAUCUACUAGUUUUUUUCUUUUAUAGUCAUGGUUAUAUUAUUUGGUCCUUCUUAGUUGCAACAUGUUUCCUUGCUGUCAAUUUAUAAUACCUCUCAUCAACAAUAGCCUGAAGAAAUAGAUUUGAAUUGCUUUCCCUAAUUUAUAGCUGGAAAACUAGGCUACGCUGGUAUCUUAAAUUGACUUUCCUGAGGUCACGGGCACUCAGUGCCAAGAGGAGUUGGUACCUACGCAUUUGAAAUUUCUGGAUUUCUGGUCUUACUCUGUACUUAGUCACUCUUUUCUUUCAUUUGGCCCUAUGGUGGGCAAACUACAGCCUACAGGCCAAUUCCAGCCUACCAUCUGUUUUUGUAUGGUCCAUGAACUAAGAAUGGUUAUCACAUUUUAAAAUGGUGGGAAAAAAAGACUAUUUUGUGACAUAAAAAUUAUAUGAAAU